rnacentral:rRNA from 1 species
UACGUAGGGGGCGAGCGUUGUCCGGAUUUAUUGGGCGUAAAGAGCUCGUAGGCGGUUCGGUAAGUCGGAUGUGUAAUCUCCACGCUCAACGUGGAGGGGCCAUUCGAUACUGCCGUGACUCGAGUCCGGUAGGGGAGUGUGGAAUUCCCGGUGUAGCGGUGAAAUGCGCAGAGAUCGGGAGGAACACCCGUAGCGAAGGCGGCACUCUGAGCCGGUACUGACGCUGAGGAGCGAAAGCGUGGGGAGCGAACAGG